GAUGAACGCUGGCGGCGUGCCUAACACAUGCAAGUCGAGCGAAGCGCUUGAAUCAGAUUCUUCGGAUGAAGGUUCUUGUGACUGAGCGGCGGACGGGUGAGUAACGCGUGGGCAACCUGCCUUACACAGGGGGAUAACAGUUAGAAAUGACUGCUAAUACCGCAUAAGACCGCGAAGCCGCAUGGCUUAGCGGUAAAAACUCCGGUGGUGUAAGAUGGGCCCGCGUCUGAUUAGGUAGUUGGCGGGGUAACGGCCCACCAAGCCGACGAUCAGUAGCCGACCUGAGAGGGUGACCGGCCACAUUGGGACUGAGACACGGCCCAGACUCCUACGGGAGGCAGCAGUGGGGAAUAUUGCACAAUGGGGGAAACCCUGAUGCAGCGACGCCGCGUGAGCGAUGAAGUAUUUCGGUAUGUAAAGCUCUAUCAGCAGGGAAGAAGAUGACGGUACCUGACUAAGAAGCCCCGGCUAACUACGUGC
rnacentral:rRNA from 1 species